rnacentral:ncRNA from 2 species
UAUUUGGCAAUGAAAAGGACACGAAUUAGAUGCUGUUUUCUUCGCAGAGAAUAGGGCCACUGGCUGAGAGCCCUUAAGAAAUCAUCUAAUUUACCACCUUAGAGCUAUUGCAGGGAACGUGCAUAACUGAAACUGCAAUCGGUAAAACCGUUAUCUUUUUAAGCGUAAAAUACGUAUGGGUAUUUUACGGAAUUAGGGUGGUACCACGGCCGCAUUCGUCCCUUCA